rfam:Operophtera brumata OBRT01_Sc04879, whole genome shotgun sequence.
CACAAGGCUCUUUUCAGAGCCACCAUAACUCAAGCUUGUCUCUG